CAUCCAUUCAUUUUUCUUUACUUUUUUAUCUCAUCCAUCCAUCUUCUAGCUCUCGUUUCUUUCAUUAAUUUCACAUCUAGAAAUCAUAAAAAUUUCCUUCCUCCUAACACCUAUAAAAAAAACCUCACUGCCUCUACUCUUGGAUAUCUCUCUCCACACCAUAUCUUUUGUAAGGAUCCGUGUGACAGACAAAAAUAUCCAUCUUUCUAAAUUUUUUGAUCUUUUUUUCACUUUCUUCUAUCCUUCCAAUACAGGAGAAAGAGAGUCAGCGAAAGGGAGGUGCGAGAGUCAGAAGGCUCUGCAGAGGAAGGUUAUAGGAAGAGA
rnacentral:lncRNA from 1 species